AAGUCGUAACAAGGUCUCCGUAGGUGAACCUGCGGAGGGAUCAUUACACAAUAAAAUAUGAAGGCUGUACGCGGCUGUGCUCUCGGGCCAGUUUUGCAGAGGCUGAAUUAUUUAUUACCCUUGUCUUUUGCGCACUUGUUGUUUCCUGGGCGGGUUCGCCCGCCACCAGGACCACAUCAUAAACCUUUUUUAUGCAGUUGCAAUCAGCGUCAGUAUAACAAAUGUAAAUCAUUUACAACUUUCAACAACGGAUCUCUUGGUUCUG
rnacentral:misc_RNA from 1 species